rnacentral:rRNA from 1 species
UACGAAGGGGGCUAGCGUUGCUCGGAAUCACUGGGCGUAAAGGGUGCGUAGGCGGGUCUUUAAGUCAGGGGUGAAAUCCUGGAGCUCAACUCCAGAACUGCCUUUGAUACUGAAGAUCUUGAGUCCGGGAGAGGUGAGUGGAACUGCGAGUGUAGAGGUGAAAUUCGUAGAUAUUCGCAAGAACACCAGUGGCGAAGGCGGCUCACUGGCCCGGUACUGACGCUGAGGCACGAAAGCGUGGGGAACAAACAGG